AGCGAACGCUGGCGGCAGGCUUAACACAUGCAAGUCGAACGGGCUUCUUCGGAAGUCAGUGGCAGACGGGUGAGUAACACGUGGGAACGUGCCCUUCGGUUCGGAAUAACUCAGGGAAACUUGAGCUAAUACCGGAUACGCCCUUUGGGGAAAGGUUUACUGCCGAAGGAUCGGCCCGCGUCUGAUUAGCUUGUUGGUGGGGUAACGGCCUACCAAGGCGACGAUCAGUAGCUGGUCUGAGAGGAUGAUCAGCCACACUGGGACUGAGACACGGCCCAGACUCCUACGGGAGGCAGCAGUGGGGAAUAUUGGACAAUGGGCGCAAGCCUGAUCCAGCCAUGCCGCGUGAGUGAUGAAGGCCUUAGGGUUGUAAAGCUCUUUUGUCCGGGACGAUAAUGACGGUACCGGAAGAAUAAGCCCCGGCUAACUUCGUG
rnacentral:rRNA from 1 species